rnacentral:rRNA from 1 species
AACGAACGCUGGCGGCAGGCUUAACACAUGCAAGUCGAACGCAUCGCAAGAUGAGUGGCAGACGGGUGAGUAACGCGUGGGAACAUACCCUUUUCUACGGAAUAGCUCUGGGAAACUGGAAUUAAUACCGUAUACGCCCUACGGGGGAAAGAUUUAUCGGGGAAGGAUUGGCCCGCGUUGGAUUAGCUAGUUGGUGGGGUAAAGGCCUACCAAGGCGACGAUCCAUAGCUGGUCUGAGAGGAUGAUCAGCCACAUUGGGACUGAGACACGGCCCAAACUCCUACGGGAGGCAGCAGUGGGGAAUAUUGGACAAUGGGCGCAAGCCUGAUCCAGCCAUGCCGCGUGAGUGAUGAAGGCCUUAGGGUUGUAAAGCUCUUUCACCGAUGAAGAUAAUGACGGUAGUCGGAGAAGAAGCCCCGGCUAACUUCGUGCCAGCCGCCGCCGUAAUAC